GAUGAACGCUGGCGGCGUGCCUAAUACAUGCAAGUCGAGCGAACAGACGAGGAGCUUGCUCCUCUGACGUUAGCGGCGGACGGGUGAGUAACACGUGGAUAACCUACCUAUAAGACUGGGAUAACUUCGGGAAACCGGAGCUAAUACCGGAUAAUAUAUUGAACCGCAUGGUUCAAUAGUGAAAGACGGUUUUGCUUUCACUUAUAGAUGGAUCCGCGCCGCAUUAGCUAGUUGGUAAGGUAACGGCUUACCAAGGCGACGAUGCGUAGCCGACCUGAGAGGGUGAUCGGCCACACUGGAACUGAGACACGGUCCAGACGACUACGGGAGGCAGCAGUAGGGAAUCUUCCGCAAUGGGCGAAAGACUGACGGAGCAACGCCGCGUGAGUGAUGAAGGUCUUCGGAUCGUAAAACUCUGUUAUUAGGGAAGAACAAAUGUGGAAGUAACUAUGCACGUCUUGACGGUACCUAAUCAGAAAGCCACGGCUAACUACGUG
rnacentral:rRNA from 1 species